rnacentral:rRNA from 1 species
GUGCCAGCCGCCGCGGUAAUACGAAGGGGGCUAGCGUUGUUCGGAAUUACUGGGCGUAAAGCGCGCGCAGGCGGUUUUCCAAGUCAGUGGUGAAAGCCCGGAGCUCAACUCCGGAAAUGCCAUUGAAACUGUAAAACUUGAGGACGAGAGAGGUGAGUGGAAUUCCCAGUGUAGAGGUGAAAUUCGUAGAUAUUGGGAAGAACACCGGUGGCGAAGGCGGCUCACUGGCUCGUUUCUGACGCUCAGGCGCGAUAGCGUGGGGAUCAAACAGGAUUAGAAACCCUAGUAGUCC